GAUGAACGCUGGCGGCGUGCUUAACACAUGCAAGUCGAACGGAAAGGCCGAAGCUUGCUUCGGUACUCGAGUGGCGAACGGGUGAGUAACACGUGGGUGAUCUGCCCUGUACUUCGGGAUAAGCUUGGGAAACUGGGUCUAAUACCGGAUAUGACGAUCUCUUGGAUGGGGUUGUGGAAAGCUUUUGCGGUAUGGGAUGAGCUCGCGGCCUAUCAGCUUGUUGGUGGGGUAAUGGCCUACCAAGGCGUCGACGGGUAGCCGGCCUGAGAGGGUGUACGGCCACAUUGGGACUGAGAUACGGCCCAGACUCCUACGGGAGGCAGCAGUGGGGAAUAUUGCACAAUGGGCGCAAGCCUGAUGCAGCGACGCCGCGUGGGGGAUGACGGCCUUCGGGUUGUAAACUCCUUUCGCAAUCGACGAAGCCCUUUGGUGACGGUAGGUUGAGAAGAAGCACCGGCUAACUACGUG
rnacentral:rRNA from 1 species